GCUCUCUCUGUCCGGUAUCUCACCGCUGCGUCGGUGCAGAUUUCACUGAGGUGGCCCUGUGCUAUAUCGUAUUUGUCUGAUUUGUGAAGUAACCUGUUUUUGGGGAAAGAAGAUGUGGGAAGUUCAAUGAUUGCGAUUCUUACAUCUUGGCACUAAGGAAUCAGGCUUGAGUUCUGGAUGCUGGGAAGUUCAGGAUCAAGGCACCAGCAUGGUCAUAUUCUGGUAAUUGGCAGUUGAUCAAUUGGCACGAUCCUGAUGGGCUGUUUUGGCCCAACCUUCUGUGUGACAGAGCUCCAGGAAGAGGGAACCUAGAGGUUUGCUGACACUCCAAUCUAUCUUCAAUGAAUACAAGCUGGCUAAUAAAUAUUUA